GAUGAACGCUGGCGGCGUGCCUAAUACAUGCAAGUCGAGCGAACAGACGCGGAGCUUGCUCCUCUGACGUUAGCGGCGGACGGGUGAGUAACACGUGGAUAACCUCCCUAUAAGACUGGGAUAACUUCGGGAAACAGGAGCUAAUACCGGAUAAUAUAUUGAACCGCAUGGAUGAAUGGUGAAAGACGGUUUUGCUGUCACUUAUAGAUGGAUCCGCGCCGCAUUAGCUAGUUGGUAAGGUAACGGCUUACCAAGGCGACGAUGCGUAGCCGACCUGAGAGGGGGAUCGGCCACACUGGAGCUGAGACACCGCCGAGCCUCCUACGGGAGGCAGCAGUAGGGAAUCUUCCGCAAUGGGCGAAGGCCUGACGGAGCAGCGCCGCGUGAGUGAUGAAGGUGUUCGGAUCGUAAAACUCUGUUAUUAGGGAAGAACAAAUGUGUAAGUAACUAUGCACGUCUUGACGGUACCUAAUCAGAAAGCCACGGCUAACUACGUG
rnacentral:rRNA from 1 species